GAUGAACGCUAGCGGGAGGCUUAACACAUGCAAGUCGAGCGGUAUUGACCUUGGUCGAGAGAGCGGCGCACGGGUGCGUAACGCGUAUGCAACCUGCCUUAUGCAGGGGGAUAGCCCGGGGAAACCCGGAUUAAUACCCCAUAGAUCAGUAGUAUCGCAUGGUACAAUUGGUAAAGAUUCAUUGGCAUAAGAUGGGCAUGCGUCUGAUUAGCUAGUUGGUAGGGUAACGGCCUACCAAGGCGACGAUCAGUAGGGGUUCUGAGAGGAUUAUCCCCCCACACUGGUACUGAGACCCGGACCAGACUCCUACGGGAGGCAGCAGUGAGGAAUAUUGGUCAAUGGGCGCAAAGCCUGAAACCAGCUAUCCCGCGUGAAGGAUGAAUGCCUUAUGGGUUGUAAACUUCUUUUGUACCUGAAGAAACUCUGGGUCGUGACCUGGACUGCCGGUAGGGUACGAAUAAGCAUCGGCUAACUCCGUGCCAGCAGCCG
rnacentral:rRNA from 1 species